AGUGAACGCUGGCGGUAGGCCUAACACAUGCAAGUCGAACGGCAGCACAGGAGAGCUUGCUCUCUGGGUGGCGAGUGGCGGACGGGUGAGGAAUACAUCGGAAUCUACUCUGUCGUGGGGGAUAACGUAGGGAAACUUACGCUAAUACCGCAUACGACCUACGGGUGAAAGCAGGGGACCUUCGGGCCUUGCGCGAUUGAAUGAGCCGAUGUCGAAUUAGCUAGUUGGCGGGGUAAAGCCCCACCAAGGCGACGAUCCGUAGCUGGUUCUGAGAGGAUGAUCAGCCACACUGGAACUGAGACACGGUCCAGACUCCUACGGGAGGCAGCAGUGGGGAAUAUUGGACAAUGGGCGCAAGCCUGAUCCAGCCAUACCGCGUGGGUGAAGAAGGCCUUCGGGUUGUAAAGCCCUUUUGUUGGGAAAGAAAUCCAGCUGGCUAAUACCCGGUUGGGAUGACGGUACCCAAAGAAUAAGCACCGGCUAACUUCGUGCCAGCAGCCGCCGCCG
rnacentral:rRNA from 1 species